AUUGAACGCUGGCGGCAGGCCUAACACAUGCAAGUCGAGCGGUUGAAGGGAGCUUGCUCCUGGAUUCAGCGGCUGACGGGCGGGUAAUGCCUAGGAAUCUGACUUGUAGUGUGGGAUAACGUCCGUAAACGGGCGCUAAUAUCGCAUACGACCAGAGCGAGAAAGGGGUGGAUCCUCGGACCUCACGCUAUCAGAUGAGCUUAGGUCGGGUUCGCUAGUUGGUGGGGUAAAGGCCAACCAAGGCGACGACCCGUAACUGGUCUGAUAGGAUGACCAGUCAACCUGGAACUGGGACACGGCCCGGACUCCUACGGGAGGCAGCAGUGGGGAAUAUUGGACAAUGGGCGAAAGCCUGAUCCAGCCAUGCCGCGUGUGGGAGGAGGGUCUUCGGAUUGUAAAGCACUUUGAGUUGGGAGGAAGGGCAGUAAGUUAAUACCUUGCUGUUUUGACGUUACCAAAAGAAUAAGCACCGGCUAACUUCGUG
rnacentral:rRNA from 1 species